GAGAAUAUGUAGCAGAUGAAAAGAACCUUUUAUGUGCUCACUGUGAUCCACAGUGUGAUGGUAAUUGUACCGGUCCUGAGCCAUCGAAUUGUGUUGCUUGUAAGAAUGUUUUCGAUUCUGGAAAAUGUAAGGAAGCAUGUCCAGCACACAAGUAUGAGACUAUCUCGCAUGAGUGCGUCGAUUGCCAUGAGAAUUGUGUGUUGGGAUGUACUGGCCCCCUCUCCCUGAAAAGCAAGGGUGGAUGUGACGACUGCUACGUCAUUGAGCUUGACAUCAAUGAUAACAAU